rnacentral:rRNA from 1 species
ACGAAGGGUGCAAGCGUUAAUCGGAAUUACUGGGCGUAAAGGGUGCGUAGGCGGUUCGUUAAGUCUGUCGUGAAAUCCCCGGGCUCAACCUGGGAAUGGCGAUGGAUACUGGCGAGCUAGAGUGUGUCAGAGGAUGGUGGAAUUCCCGGUGUAGCGGUGAAAUGCGUAGAUAUUCGGAAGAACACCAGUGGCGAAGGCGACUCGCUGGACAAGUAUUGACGCUGAGGUGCGAAAGCGUGGAGAGCAAACAGGA